rnacentral:miRNA from 10 species
AGUGGAGCGAGUUCCAUCUCAUC